UUUUUUUUCAAUGUUUUUGUUCAUAGUUCUUUGUUUCCUGCAAAUUUCCAGUAAAGUAACGGUUCACUUUUAGUUCUAUUUUUCAAUUGCCCUGUUGGUCUUUUUUGGAAGAUACAUCAUGAGCAAGGAAAAUUCAUUUCAGUUAUAAUUGAAUUAUAGUCUCCUACACUAUUUCUACUUUAUAUUCUGGGAUAGGUUUUGGUUAGAGACCCACUGCACAAUAAUGUAAUUCCUAUUGUUGAGGAACGGUUGCUUCUUGUAAUGUAAAUGUUACAAGCCAAUUCAAGGUGAGAAGAGGAGCGUCCUGUGAUGCUAAAAGAUGUCGAUACAGGCGAAGAAAAUGCAUUGGAAGUUGCACUAGAAGCCAUUUGUAGUUUGUAAGAUGCGUGUACUAGAGAACUGGAGACCGAUGCUUAUCCUGCUUUAGAUGAGCUGACCUCCAAGAUUAGCUGUCGUAAUCUGGAUCAGGUGUGUAAGCUGAAGAGUUCCAUGACAAGGUUGACAAAUCGGGUUCAAAAGGUAUGCUAAUAUUGCUAUAGCACCUAUGAAUGUUACUAGCAUGGUGAGUUUAUUUCUUGAAAUAUUUGUUGCUCAUUUACAAUAUUUAUAUUAUUUGAUUUAAAAAGAUUGAUCAACUUAAGCAUAAUCUGUUUAGGUGUGUGGGUAUGCCAAUUCUCAAAGAAAGUGAAAAGUUAAAGCAAAAGACAAUCCCAUUCCUAUGGAACGUUAAAUAUCUCUUUUGAUGGACUGGAUCUUGGACAUAUCUUAUUCUUGUGAUAUUAUAUAGAUUACAUAAUUUUUUGUACAUAUAGUUAAGGACAGCACCUAUAAUUUUAGUUGAAAAGGUCUUUUCUUCUUGCCAUAGUAUAAUAAUAGUUAUUCUGGUUAGCUAUGUUGCCGAUGUACAUAGCAGAGGUUCUAAGCUCCCUUCUAUGAGAAUAUUCCUUUUCCUUUCCUUAAGAUGAAUGUAACAGGGGAAAAUCACUCUUUUAGCAAAAAGUAGCUGAUUAGAGUGUGAUGACAGUGAGUAGGGGUGAGCAUUCGGUUCAAACUGAAUCGAACCGAAUUAAAUUAUAAAAAUCGAA